GGGAGAUGAUGAAGAAGAUAUAUUGGUCCGUGUUUCUGAUUUACCGUGACUGAUACUUCAGUACGAAUCUCUGAUCCC